UCCCAGCAGUCCAAGUCGCAGCCACAAUUGUUGGGUCUAAAACAUCCGUAGCUUGCUUUGUAAGUCUUGUGUGAAAUCUGGCCUCUCAAGGGUCGGGCGUGCACAAGAUACUGCUAUAGCUAGAGACCGGGAGACGUAAGGAGUACAGAUAGGGUAGCGGUAAAAUGUGUUGAUCCUUUCUGGACUAACAAUAGCGAAGGCACCUUACGAGAACGGAUCUGACAGUGAGGGAUGAAGGCUAGGGGCGCAAAGUGG
rnacentral:rRNA from 1 species